GAUAACAACAAAAUUGGUAACUUGGCCUAGAAACCUCGGAAUUAAUAACUGUGGAAAUGCUUGGUAAACACUAAGCUGCGAGGCAGCUCUGUCCCAUUGUGGAGAUGUAAUGCCAAUAAGAAGAAGAAAAACUGAUCUACCAAAAAGAUAUUUGCAUCAACACCUUCUGAUCCAUGAUGGAAAAAGCAUCAUUCAAACGAAAAGAUUUCUGUUAUUGACUGCAACACAAACCGUCGAAGACCCAUGACACACUGGUCGUGUUCAACAUGUGCGCACACAUCAACGCAAAGUAGUAACUGGAAAGCGUGUGGCGAAUAUCACUUUAUAAAGACGGUAUCGAUCAUCACAAUUCCUGCCGGAUUCCCUAUUCCGGACUCAUCAAGCUUCAAACCGUGAUCAAACUAUUAUAAAACAUGGAAAAACUAGAAAAAUAUUCAUCCGGUCACUCAGUAAACGUAUUCUAACGGUGUCCCAAACUUAGUCCUUUCUCUUAAACGGUUCUGGUAACGCAAGCACCGAUGGAACCAUAGACAUAAGAAUCAUCUAUCGUUACAACCUUUAACCAAAGAAACGAAUGGAGUUAUGGCAAAGCAACUACGAAAACUCCGUCGAUUCCGAGAAUUGGUUGCGAACAACUGAGUGAUAAUUUAAUAUUAUUUGCUUUCAUUUUCCUAAUAAAUGUAUUGAUAUUCGUAUUCUUUAUUUUAGUUUGAAAUUCAUUGUGAAUUAACUACGAA